rnacentral:rRNA from 1 species
CCUACGGGCGGCAGCAGUGAGGAAUAUUGGUCAAUGGACGAGAGUCUGAACCAGCCAAGUAGCGUGAAGGAUGACUGCCCUAUGGGUUGUAAACUUCUUUUAUAUGGGAAUAAAAUGUUCCACGUGUGGGAUUUUGUAUGUACCAUAUGAAAAAGGAUCGGCUAACUCCGUGCCAGCAGCCGCGGUAAUACGGAGGAUCCGAGCGUUAUCCGGAUUUAUUGGGUUUAAAGGGAGCGUAGGUGGAUUGUUAAGUCAGUUGUGAAAGUUUGCGGCUCAACCGUAAAAUUGCAGUUGAAACUGGCAGUCUUGAGUGCAGUAGAGGUGAGCGGAAUUCGUGGUGUAGCGGUGAAAUGCUUAGAUAUCACGAAGAACUCCGAUUGCGAAGGCAGUUCACUGGACUGCAACUGACACUGAGGCUCGAAAGUGUGGGUAUCAAACAGGAUUAGAUACCCCUGUAGUC